CACAGGGUGUAUCUGGGGAGACCAUCGGCAUUGUGGGAGGCGUAGUGGCUGCAGGACUAAUUGCCGGAGUGGCCGUCGCCGUGUUUGUCGUCUGUCGGCACCAGCAGAAGACGCGCACAGAGAGGGAUAAUGACCUGACAGACCUCCCUCCAGCACAUAAGCUCAUGCCCCCCCUGAAAAGGAACACUGACUUCAAGAGCCACUUGACGUCUGAUGAUAUACAGGUGCUUCAUCCAGACAAGGAGGUAGAGGAAAUGCAGGAGCUGCGUCUCCAUCCUCCGUAUUACGACAUGGCAUCUUCCUUUUCGGAAAAGCUGGACUCUGGCCCCAAAGACCAUGAUGUCCACUAUGCGGAGCUGGACACUUCUGUCUUGGCCUCCUCUCCUUGCCGACGAAGCUCCAUUCUCUCCGGGGACCUUGUGGAGUAUGCAACCAUUCAGCCCAGUCUAUAGUAGCACAUUGCAUCAGAGACCUUUCUGCUCACAAACCAACCUCAAGGCCAACAUACUGUAGUCUUACAGCGUUCCAGCUUUCACCCACAUAUCAGGUGUAAGUGAUUCCAGCACCGGAGGCCUGUUACAUGCUGUACAGGAUUUGGAUCAGAAGUGAUCCCCAACACUGUUUCAGCUAUAGCUUAUCUGCAGAGCUCACAGAAAGUCUUGAGAUGCUUAAUUCUUUAACAAUGUUGCAAAUUUAUUGGUUUCAUAACAAAACUCCACUGCCAAGCGAUGUGUAACAUACCUGCACACAUCUUCCAUACAGACAUUUUCUUUUCAUUUAGCCUCAUUUUUUUUGACUGACUCACUCUGUUCUUGACAUUUUGCUGUUAAUUACAAUUGUAGUUAUUGUCUGCCAAAGGGUUACUAAACACAAAUGUUUGAUGUUUUAUGUUAUUGCAGAGGUAACGCUAAUUAAAAAUCCCCAAUGAGUCUGCUUGUCAAUGAAUGAUUUAUCUCAGAACAGCUCUGUUAGAACUGCAAUUUGGAUUUCAAUUUAUUAGUACUUGAAAUUAUUUUUUUAGUUAAAACUACUCCUUGUUUUUAUUGUUACAUAUUUUUUUUGUAAACAAAUGAACAGUUAUGAUUUUUGUUAUGAGACCAAUAAAUCUGCAGUAUUUUUAUUGAAUUGAGCAAGCGAGCACUGUAUGAACAGAAAUGCAGAUAAAGCUUCAGUCCUUACCUAAUGCUGAUUCAGCAUUAUCACCAAGCACCUUUCUGUUCCAGAUGGUUCCUGGUUUCUGCUCUCUAUUACCUUCAGUCCACUAAAUUAAACCAUUUGAUGUGUCUGAAAAUAUAGCAGGGAAUUGUUUUUUUUCUCUCACUUGAUAUUCCUCAAAUGUCAUGUUUCCAAAGAUAACAUUGUUUCCCUUGACCCUGUUUCCCUAACCAUAGUAGGAUCCUGAGUAUAUAAUAAUGUUGCUUUUUGAAAAAUACUAAUAUUUUGGUAUAUUUGAAGCUGCUAUUUUCUGUGGAGGAAUGUCAUGUUUUUAACCACUACAAAAAUUGUUAUAAUAAGAAAACAUUCUUUAUGUAAUGUAAUAUUUACUUUAGCCUUGUCACAUUCAGUCGGUGAUAUGCAGGAAUGGGUUAGAUCACAAGAUAUAUCUUACGGUGCAUGUGUAUGCUGCUUAAAUGUAACAUUCAUGACUGCCUUAUGUAUGUGAAUCUUUUCAGGAUACUUCUUUCCAUGAUGUGUAUCAGUAAUGUUAUUGGGUAUGUCUGUGUGGGUAAAGGAAUAGUAAAGACUGUAAAUACCACUAGUAUCUUUUACUGAACCUCUACUCAGAAAAAUUUAUGUUUUAUUUCGCAGACUAUCGGGUGCUCGUUGCCACCAUUACAUGAAGGCAUGGGGGCACAUUCCUGUGAUUUUUCAGCAUCGGGGGGUGCACUGUGGUUUAACACCCCUUAGCUUUUCUAAAGUCUGAAUUU